CCCUAUUUCAUUCAGAUGUGCGGUUUGGUUGGGAUGAACAUAAAGCUGUAGUUGUUGCUGGAAUGAGACAGACUGGCGUGUUUUUUAAUGCAGCUUUCCAAAUAUGACCCGUGCUUUUUCUCACAUUUGAAAAGGGGAUUUUCCACUGUUGUUUUUCGGGUCAGAAAUCCCUCUCUAAAGAAAUUCUUACAUGGAUGGACGGCUUAAGGAUUCACUGGAACAGAGGUUCUCCAAUGGAGAGAGUCAGAAUCUAAUCAGCAACUGCAAAUGAAACCUGUCUACCUGACUGAGGAACUGACCCCCCCCCCCCCC